GUGUCUGAUCUCAGCAUCAGUCUCUCUCUACCUCUGGAGGUGGAAUAUCAGGAUAACAACACCUACAGCUGUGUGAUCAACAACACCAUCAGCAACCAGACCACACAUCUGGACAUCAACACACUCUGUCAGCCGUGUCCAGAUGAGGAUCUGCAUCUGUUCAACAUUGUGUGGAUUUGUGCUGCUGUUGGGUCUCUGUUGAUUUUAGUGUCUGCCGUGAUGUGCUGCAUCUCCAAGAAAUGUAGAAAAACAGUUCAUAACUGUGAGGAAGACCAAUCUGAUUCAACAUUGUGUAAAGAAAAAUCACGAAAAAAGAAAUCAGACAUGCAGGCUGUUUAUUACAAUGUCCCUAAAAGACGGUGAUAGUAUCUAGCCUAUAGGCUUACUGGAACCAGUGUGUGUUUGCUAAGAAACUAAAAGUGUCUGUGUCAGUGACUGAAGGAGAUUCUGUUACUCUAAACUCUGGUGUUACUAUAAUACAUUGGGAGAACAUGCUGUGGAGUUUUGGAGCCGAAAACACUCUUAUAGCUAAAAUCAGCAUUAAGGAGCAAAUCUUCUCCACAUUUGAUGGCACUGACAGAUUCAGAGACAGACUUAAGAUGGACAGACAGACUGGAUCUCUGACCAUCACAAACAUCACAUCUGAAAAUGCGGGAAUUUAUAAUCUUGAUAUAAGCGGAAAAAAAUGGCCAUCAAAAAUAUUCAAUGUUUCUGUUCAUGCACGUCUGCUUGUUCCUGCCCUCAUCUUCAACUCUUCUCUGUGUUCAUCAUCCCAGUAUAAUUAUUCAGUGUUGUGUUCAGUGGUGAAUGUGAGCGCUGUGAGUCUCUCCUGGUACAAAGGAAACAGUGUAUUGUCCAGCAUCAGUGUGUCUGAUCUCAGCAUCAGUCUCUCUCUACCUCUGGAGGUGGAAUAUCAAGAUAACAACACCUACAGCUGUGUGAUCAACAACACCAUCAGCAACCAGACCACACAUCUGGACAUCAACACACUCUGCCAGCCGUGUCCAGAUGAGGAUCUGCAUCUGUUCAACAUUGUGUGGAUUUGUGCUGCUGUUGGGUCUCUGUUGAUUUUAGUGUCUGCCGUGAUGUGCUGCAUCUCCAAGAAAUGUAGAAAAACAGUUCAUAACUGUGAGGAAGACCAAUCUGAUUCAACAUUGUGUAAAGAAAAAUCACGAAAAAAGCACGUCUGCUUGUUCCUGCCCUCAUCUUCAACUCUUCUCUGUGUUCAUCAUCCCAGUAUAAUUAUUCAGUGGUGUGUUCAGUGGUGAAUGUGAGCGCUGUGAGUCUCUCCUGGUACAAAGGAAACAGUGUAUUGUCCAGCAUCAGUGUGUCUGAUCUCAGCAUCAGUCUCUCUCUACCUCUGGAGGUGGAAUAUCAGGAUAACAACACCUACAGCUGUGUGAUCAACAACACCAUCAGCAACCAGACCACACAUCUGGACAUCAACACACUGUGCCAGCCGUGCGAAGGUUCUCAGAUAGUUUUGAUAUCUGCUGCUGCUGGAUCUCUGAUGACUUUUGUUGGAGUCGGGAUCUUCUGGAUCUGCUGGAAAUGUGGAAACUCUGAUCAAAAAGGCAAGUGUUACAUCAGUGUUACAUACAUGAUUCUUAAACCAGUGAUAAACCCACACGGAAAGAAAAUAUAUGGCCUGUAUAUGCAUCUCAAUUUUGCCUAUAUGUGGCACAUUUACACAUAUGUGCAUAAAGGUUCAUAUAUAUGCAUAUAUCCUCAUUUAGGACCUUUCCAUGUGGAAAUAUUUUAAUCAAUUGAUAGACAAAACUAUUAUUUAGCCCCUCAUCGGUCAGCCCUCUUUUUGAAUUCAUACUUGAUCUAUGCAUAUGAUAUAUAGUUAAUUAAAAUAUGUACAGGAACACAUCCCAGUUAGUAUGUUUUCAUAGGUAAAGUACCUAAAUAUGUUAAUAAUGGAGAUGACAAAUGAAAAAUUUUAUUUAUGAUGCGCUUUUCUUAACCUCAAAGCGCUACAAAACAUACAAUAACUGUGACGAGCCAGAGGCUCAAACCCAUGUUUCUGGUAUGGUAGACCUACGUUCUACCGUUUAACAACAGGAAGAGGUGAUGAACCAAGUUGCUAAGGUACAAGGUCUAGUUCAACAAAAGGUGUUUAUUUAGGAAAUCCAAAAUCAUCAAAAUAGCAGCCAGCCAAAAACACAGGAAGUCUACAAGACUGACUACAGCCAAGCAGGUAACAAACAAAGUUCUCCGUAGAGCACAGGGACAAGAGCACAUCAAACCCAAAAACCAAGUGACAAGUGAAGAAAAGAGGGUAAAAUAAAUAGGCUAGUCUACGACACAGCUGAACAAGAUUAACACAAAUGAACCCAAACAGAAAACACUGGGAAAAAUAGCGACAUCAUGUGGAGAUGAAAAACACCAAUAGUUCAGAAGAUGUCAAUAACAAAAAA